UACAGAGGCCUCAAGCGUUAGGCGGAAUCACUGGGCUCAAAGCGUGUGUAGGUGGAUGCCUAAGUACCUUGUGAAAUCCCACGGCUUAACCAUGGAAUUGCUUGGUAUACUGGGUGUCUUGAGCCACUCAGGGGCUACCGGAACAAACGGUGGAGCGGUGAAAUGCGUAGAUAUCGUUUGGAACGCCAAUGGUGAAAACAGGUAGCUGGGGGUGUGCUGACACUGAGACACGAAAGCCAGGGGAGCAAACGGG
rnacentral:rRNA from 1 species